UUUUUUUUACCCCUGAUCUGGCCUCUUGUGGCGUGACCAUGAUGAAGAAAUUUUUCAGAAGCCUGGCAAUGUGAUCUUCAUGUAAUGAGUCAGGAUUCGCUAAAGGAAGGAGCAGGGACUCUGGAUCAACCUUUUCCCAGCAAGGAUCUAUGACAAGCAGGAUCUAGCUGCCUCUCCUCCUGCCUCUUCCAAUCUGAAAGGCCGGUAAGUGACUGACAUCCUUUUGUCCUUAUUUCUAUAAAGAAUACAGGCUGCUGCUUUGAUGAUCAAGCCUGGCUAUGUCGUGCAAUGCAUGGUGUGAUUCCUUGAUCUGCAGGUGUGGAGAGACUUUGGAGCAACAGGGGGGAGGCACAGACAAAAAGGGGGCACUGGAACAGCCCUACUGAUAGCUCCAGUAAU